rnacentral:pre_miRNA from 1 species
AGUGCAAUUGCUGGAUUAUAUGGUAAGAUUGUAUUAAAUUUUGGAAAAACUUCUAAACUGUCUUUAAAAAUGACUGUACCAUUUUGCAUUUCCACCAGCAUU